rnacentral:lncRNA from 1 species
AAAAUUAUUAUUACGAAAAAUGCUACCAAAAUGUCAACUAAGUACCAAACUUAUUUAAAUCUGACAUACGUAGAAAAAUUGGCUCAAAAAUCUUGAUUGAGUAAAUUGUUAUAGUAAGUUUCUCGGUUUUCAGACAAUUAAGUAAAACAAAAACAUUACAUAAACAUCUCAAUUAGCUUGAUUCAGACGUUCAAGUGUGCCAAUCAUCUCACACUUGUCUCCAAUCCGACAAGCAAUAUAUUGCCAACGCAAAAC